AUGUUACCAAUGCAAUAUUACAAAUCCACUUCACAUCUACUGAAUGUGAAUCUGCAUUUCAGCAAGUUAACAAGUAAUCUCGGAUCAAGUGGAGAUUUUGUGGUGACCCAGACUCCACUCCCCUUGCUUGUCACCCUAGGAGAGCCAGCCUCCAUCUCUUGCAGGUCUAUUCAGAACUUUCUAUAUAGCAAUGGAAACACAUAUUUGAAAUGGUUCCUGCAGAAGCGAGGGCAGUCUCCACAACUCCUGAUCUAUGAGGUUUCCAACUGAGAAUCUGGGAUCUCAGAAAGAUUCAGUGGCAG